AGCUUUGCGCAGUGGCAGUAUCGUAGCCAAUGAGGUUUAUCCGAGGCGCGAUUAUUGCUAAUUGAAAAGGCUCUGCUUGCCUGUCAGGCUGGUCGCCCCACUUCUCAGAGU
rnacentral:snRNA from 1 species